rnacentral:misc_RNA from 1 species
UGCUUAGCUUCGACAGCGUCGAAAGGCGGAAAAUAAAAGUCUUGGAGAAGAGGAUUCGAUUGGGGAAUUUCAUCCAUGGCGCCAGAAGCAGCCAUUGACGGAGGAAAACGCGAAGAACAGGAAGAAAAAUACUGGACGGAAGAAGAGGUAACAGAUUUGCGACGGUUGUGAAGGCAGAAGGAGAAGGAAGAUGACCAGAGGGGACAAGGAAAUGAUUUUGUUAAAUGGGUAGGAGAGGAG